UGAACGCUGGCGGUAGGCCUAACACAUGCCAGUCGCACGGCAGCACAGUAAGAGCUUGCUCUUACGGGUGGCGAGUGGCGGACGGGUGAGGAAUACAUCGGAAUCUACUUUUUCGUGGGGGAUAACGUAGGGAAACUUACGCUAAUACCGCAUACGACCUACGGGUGAAAGCAGGGGAUCUUCGGACCUUGCGCGAUUGAAUGAGCCGAUGUCGGAUUAGCUAGUUGGCGGGGUAAAGGCCCACCAAGGCGACGAUCCGUAGCUGGUCUGAGAGGAUGAUCAGCCACACUGGAACUGAGACACGGUCCAGACUCCUACGGGAGGCAGCAGUGGGGAAUAUUGGACAAUGGGCGCAAGCCUGAUCCAGCCAUACCGCGUGGGUGAAGAAGGCCUUCGGGUUGUAAAGCCCUUUUGUUGGGAAAGAAAAGCAGCAGGUUAAUACCCCGCUGUUCUGACGGUACCCAAAGAAUAAGCACCGGCUAACUUCGUG
rnacentral:rRNA from 1 species